GUCGGAUCGCCCGAAUUAACAGGAGUCAUGAUCGCUUUAUCGUGGUUAAUUUAGCGUAAACUAAAAUAAUUCGCGGAAAUAACAUCUUAUAAAAACCGAAGGUUGUCCCCGGUUGUAUCGUGAAUUUCCGAUAGAGCCCAAGUAAUACUUUCCGCUUUCCAAGAUCUGUAAAUUUCUUCGCCGAAAACUGGAAAAACGAUAU
rnacentral:ncRNA from 1 species